GGAAAUCCAGUAUGGGA
rnacentral:misc_RNA from 1 species